rnacentral:rRNA from 1 species
UUACGGAAGGCAGCAGUGGGGAAUAUUGCAUAAUGGGCGAAAGCCUGAUGCAGCAACGCCGCGUGCGCGAUGAAGGCCUUCGGGUCGUAAAGCGCUUUUUGGAGGGAUGAGAAAGGACAGUACCUCCAGAAUAAGUCUCGGCUAACUACGUGCCAGCAGCCGCGGUAAAACGUAGGAGGCAAGCGUUAUCCGGAUUUACUGGGCGUAAAGCGCGUGUAGGCGGUUCGGAAAGUUGGAUGUGAAAGCUCCUGGCUCAACUGGGAGAGGUCGUUCAAUACUUCCGGGCUUGAGGAUGGUAGAGGGAGGUGGAAUUCCGGGUGUAGUGGUGAAAUGCGUAGAUAUCCGGAGGAACACCAGUGGCGAAAGCGACCUCCUGGACCAUUUCUGACGCUCAGACGCGAAAGCUAGGGUAGCAAACGGGAUUAGAAACCCGAGUAGUCCA